UCCUCUGUUACCUGUAGGUGCUGUUUCCUCCAGUCAGUUCAUCCUAACACUGUUCCUCUGCUACCUGUAGGUGCUGUUUCCUCCAGUCAGUUCAUCCUAACACUGUUCCUCUGUUACCCGUAGGUGCUGUUUCCUCCAGUCAGUUCAUCCUAACACUGUUCCUCUGCUAUCUGUAGGUGCUGUUUCCUCCAGUCAGUUCAUCCUAACACUGUUCCUCUGCUACCUGUAGGUGCUGUUUCCUCCAGUCAGUUCAUCCUAACACUGUUCCUCUGUUACCUGUAGGUGCUGUUUCCUCCAGUCAGUUCAUCCUAACACUGUUCCUCUGCUACCUGUAGGUGCUGUUUCCUCCAGUCAGUUCA
rnacentral:lncRNA from 1 species